rnacentral:rRNA from 1 species
GAUCAUGGCUCAGGAUGAACGCUAGCUACAGGCUUAACACAUGCAAGUCGAGGGGCAGCAUGGUCUUAGCUUGCUAAGGCCGAUGGCGACCGGCGCACGGGUGAGUAACACGUAUCCAACCUGCCGUCUACUCUUGGACAGCCUUCUGAAAGGAAGAUUAAUACAAGAUGGCAUCAUGAGUCAACAUGUUCACAUGAUUAAAGGUAUUCCGGUAGACGGUGGGGA